UCUGAACGCUGGCGGCGUGGCUAAGACAUGCAAGUCGUACGGUGUAGCAAUACACAGUGGCGGACGGGUGAGUAAUGUAUCGCUAAUGUACCCCGAUGUCUGGGAUAGCUAGUCGAAAGAUUAGGUAAUACCAGAUGAGACCACAGAACCGCAUGGUUCGGUGCUCAAAGGGUCACCGCAUUGGGAGCAGGCGAUAUCGUAUCAGCUAGUUGGUGAGGUAACGGCUCACCAAGGCGACGACGCGUAUCCGGACUGAGAGGUCGGCCGGACACAUUGGGACUGAGACACUGCCCAGACUCCUACGGGGGGCUGCAGUAACGAAUCUUCCGCAAUGCACGAAAGUGUGACGGAGCGACGCCGCGUGUAGGAUGAAGUCCUUCGGGAUGUAAACUACUGUCAGGGGAAAGAAAGUUCUGAUCUACCCCAAAGGAAGAGGCGGCUAACUCUGUG
rnacentral:rRNA from 1 species